CCUACGGGUGGCAGCAGUGAGGAAUAUUGGUCAAUGGGCGGAAGCCUGAACCAGCGACGCCGCGUGAGUGAAGAAGUAUUUCGGUAUGUAAAGCUCUGUCAGCAGGGAAGAAAGCAAUGACGGUACCUGACCAAGAAGCCCCGGCUAACUACGUGCCAGCAGCCGCGGUAAUACGUAGGGGGCAAGCGUUAUCCGGAAUUACUGGGUGUAAAGGGAGCGUAGACGGCUGUGCAAGUCUGGAGUGAAAGGCGGGGGCCCAACCCCCGGACUGCUCUGGAAACUGUAUGGCUGGAGUGCAGGAGAGGUAAGCGGAAUUCCUAGUGUAGCGGUGAAAUGCGUAGAUAUUAGGAGGAACACCAGUGGCGAAGGCGGCUUACUGGACUGUAACUGACGUUGAGGCUCGAAAGCGUGGGGAGCAAACAGGAUUAGAUACCCUAGUAGUC
rnacentral:rRNA from 1 species